GGAUGAGUCUGCAUCUGAUUAGCUAGUUGGUGGUGUAAUGGACUACCAAGGCGACGAUCAGUAGCUGGUUUGAGAGGAUGAUCAGCCACAAUGGGACUGAGACACGGCCCAUACUCCUACGGGAGGCAGCAGUAGGGAAUUUUGCGCAAUGGGCGAAAGCCUGACGCAGCAACGCCGCGUGAUCGAGACGCCCUUCGGGGUGUAAAGAUCUGUCAGUGGGGACGAAACUUGACGGUACCCACAGAGGAAGCACCGGCUAACUCCGUGCCAGCAGCCGCGGUAAUACGGGGGGUGCAAGCGUUGUCCGGAAUCAUUGGGCGUAAAGAGUUCGUAGGCGGCACGUAAAGUCUGGUGUUAAAGGCAGAGGCUCAACUUCUGUACGGCACUGGAUACUUGCGAGCUAGAAUGCGGUAGAGGUAAAGGGAAUUCCUGGUGUAGCGGUGAAAUGCUUAGAUAUCAGGAGGAACAUCGGUGGCGUAAGCGCUUUACUGGGCCGUAAUUGACGCUGAGGAACGAAAGCCAGGGUAGCAAAUGGGAUUAGAUACCCCAGUAGUCCUGGCCGUAAACGAUGGAUACUAGGUGU
rnacentral:rRNA from 1 species